rnacentral:rRNA from 1 species
GAUUGAAGGCUGAAAUUCGCCUUCAUGAAGCUGGAAUUGCUAGUAAUGGCAGGUCAGCAUACUGCCGUGAAUACGUUCCCGGGCCUUGUACACACCGCCCGUCACACCAUGAGAGUUGGAGAUACCCGAAGCCUAUGAGCUAACUUUUAGAGGCAGUAGUCGAAGGUAGAAUCAAUGAUUGGGGUGAAGUCGUAACAAGGUAAC